rnacentral:rRNA from 1 species
UACAGAGGGUGCGAGCGUUAAUCGGAUUUACUGGGCGUAAAGCGUGCGUAGGCGGCUUAUUAAGUCGGAUGUGAAAUCCCUGAGCUUAACUUGGGAAUUGCAUUCGAUACUGGUGAGCUAGAGUAUGGGAGAGGAUGGUAGAAUUCCAGGUGUAGCGGUGAAAUGCGUAGAGAUCUGGAGGAAUACCGAUGGCGAAGGCAGCCAUCUGGCCUAAUACUGACGCUGAGGUACGAAAGCAUGGGGAGCAAACAGGAUUAGAUACCCGGGUAGUCC